AACAGACCUGGGACCAGGCUAGAUAAUGACAAGACAGCCCAAACAGACCUGGGACCAGGCUAGGUAAUGACAAGACAGCCCAAACAGACCUGGGACCAGGCUAGGUAAUGACAAGACAGCCCAAACAGACCUGGGACCAGGCUAGAUAAUGACAAGACAGCCCAAACAGACCUGGGACCAGGCUAGAUAAUGACAAGACAGCCCAAACAGACCUGGGACCAGGCUAGAUAAUGACAAGACAGCCCAAACAGACCUGGGACCAGGCUAGAUAAUGACAAGACAGCCCAAACAGACCUGGGACCAGGCUAGAUAAUGACAAGACAGCCCAAACAGACCUGGGACCAGGCUAGAUAAUGACAAGACAGCCCAAACAGACCUGGGACCAGGCUAGGUAAUGACAAGACAGCCCAAACAGACCUGGGACCAGGCUAGAUAAUGACAAGACAGCCCAAACAGACCUGGGACCAGGCUAGAUAAUGACAAGACAGCCCAAACAGACCUGGGACCAGGCUAGGUAAUGACAAGACAGCCCAAACAGACCUGGGACCAGGCUAGAUAAUGACAAGACAGCCCAAACAGACCUGGGACCAGGCUAGAUAAUGACAAGACGGACCAGGCUAGGUAAUGACCAUAGGAGUUGACAAGACAGCCCAAACAGACCUGGGACCAGGCUAGGUAAUGACCAGACCUGGGACCAGGCUAGGUAAUGACAAGACAGCCCAAACAGACCUGGGACCAGGCUAGGUAAUGACAAGACAGCCCAAACAGACCUGGGACCAGGCUAGAUAAUGACAAGACAGCCCAAACAGACCUGGGACCAGGCUAGAUAAUGACAAGACAGCCCAAACAGACCUGGGACCAGGCUAGAUAAUGACAAGACAGCCCAAACAGACCUGGGACCAGGCUAGAUAAUGACAAGACAGCCCAAACAGACCUGGGACCAGGCUAGAUAAUGACAAGACAGCCCAAACAGACCUGGGACCAGGCUAGAUAAUGACAAGACAGACCUGGGACCAGGCUAGAUAAUGACAAGACAGACCUGGGACCAGGCUAGAUAAUGACAAGACAGCCCAAACAGACCUGGGACCAGGCUAGAUAAUGACAAGACAGCCCAAACAGACCUGGGACCAGGCUAGAUAAUGACAAGACAACCCAAACAGACCUGGGACCAGGCUAGAUAAUGACAAGACAGCCCAAACAGACCUGGGACCAGGCUAGAUAAUGACAAGACAGCCCAAACAGACCUGGGACCAGGCUAGGUAAUGACAAGACAGCCCAAACAGACCUGGGACCAGGCUAGAUAAUGACAAGACAGCCCAAACAGACCUGGGACCAGGCUAGAUAAUGACAAGACAGCCCAAACAGACCUGGGACCAGGCUAGAUAAUGACAAGACAGCCCAAACAGACCUGGGACCAGGCUAGAUAAUGACAAGACAGCCCAAACAGACCUGGGACCAGGACAGCCCAAACAGACCUGGGAUCAGGCUAGUGUUGCUUUGGAAACGCUGUGAUCAUAUUAACUGUGAAGUUAGCCCAUUGUUACGUCUUUAUGUCUGUUUUUACUUGAAGCAAGGAUACAUCCCAAAUGACACCCUAUUCCCUAUGGGCCCUGUUUAAACAGUGCACUAUAAAGGGAAUGGCUCCCUACGGGCCCUGUUUAAACAUAAAGGGAAUGGCUCCCUACGGGCCCUGUUUAAACAGUGCACUAUAAAGGGAAUGGCUCCCUACGGGCCCUGUUUAAACAGUGCACUAUAAAGGGAAUGGCUCCCUACGGGCCCUGUUUAAACAGUGCACUAUAAAGGGAAUGGCUCCCUACGGGCCCUGUUUAAACAGUGCACUAUAAAUGGAAGCGGGUGCCAUUUGAGAUGGAACCCAAGACGACGUGUAAAGUUGAAGCAUGAUCUGAUUAGUGUGAACUAAGUAUAUAGCUUUUUGUGAUUGUAUUUCCUCAUUAGAAGUGCAUUUUUUUUAUAUAUAUAUAUAUAUAAAAACGUUGUUCUCGAAGAAUGUGGCAUUAAGUUUGUUAUAAAUGGAACAAAUAUACAAGGACCAUGAACUUUACAGAUCUUAUCAAGUGAAUUACUAUAUGCAGUAAUAAAAAAUAAAAGUAGUUUUAAAAGAAAUGUUGGAACAUAGUUUGAAGCACCGUGUCCAGAUGUUCUGUGUGUGUAGAAGACGGGUGUAUUCAUUCCUCUGACUCUGUUGCAAAACGUUUUCGACCUGCCUGAAUUUGUCCAAUAGAAACUGUUUGUUUUUCCCCCGUCCAUUUCAAUUCAGGCAGUAAAAUGAAAUAGCAAAUUUUCCUUCAUUUUAAAAAACCGGGAUAAUUGAAAUGUCAAUCCCAAACCUGGCAGAAUUACAGCCAUGUCUUUGUGUGUAGCGAUAUUAAAAAGGAAAGAUUCACUCAUUUUUUGAAUGUCAUUGUUCUUGUGCAUCUCAGAAACGAUGUUCGUAUCGGAGUUAUUGAAACAGGAGACAUGACAAGUUGAGUCAGAACAUCGCUCAGAUGAAGAAAAGAAAAAAAAGUCAAAAAUGGGUGAAUCUUUCCUUUAAGUUUGUUUUAUAUGGGACAAACAUACAAGGACAGUGAAUUAUUACUACCUACAUUAGUCCCUGAGUGUAACUAUUGUUCUUAUGCAGUGGUUUCAGAAUUGCCUUAAGUCUUUUCAAAUAAACAUGGACUUUGUUCACUCAGUGUGA